rnacentral:rRNA from 1 species
UCAAGUAAGUAAGGGCGUACGGCGGAUGCCUUGGCCAUAUCAGCCGAAGAAGGACGCGAUAAGCUGCGAUAAGCUGCGGUGAGGUGCAAGUAACCUUUGACCCGCAGAUCUCCGAAUGGGGAAACCCGGCAGCAGUAGUGCUGUCAUCCUCUAUGAGGAAGGGCACCCGGUGAACUGAAACAUCUAAGUAGCCGGAGGAAAAGGAAUCAACAGAGAUACCCCUAGUAGCGGCGAGCGAACGGGGCAGAGCCCAAACCGGGAUGGGAAACCAAUCCGGGGUUGUGGACUGCUAUCAAAUGCAUGAGUGAAGCAGAAUGAGCUGGGAAGCUCAGCCAGAGAGAGUGAGAGCCUCGUAGGCGUAAGCAAGUGCAUGGAGCAGGAUCCGGAGUACCACGGGACACGAGAAACCCUGUGGGAAGCUGGGGGGACCACCCUCCAAGGCGAAACACUGAUAUGGACCGAUAGCGCAUAGUACCGUGAGGGAAAGGUGAAAAGAACCCCGGGAGGGGAAUGAAAGAGAACCUGAAACCGUAUGUCUACAAGCAGUCGAAGACCUUUAUAUGGUCGACGGCGUGCCUAUUGAAGAAUGAACCGGCGAGUUACUUCAGCUAGCGAGGUUAAGCAGAAAAUGCGGAGCCGCAGCGAAAGCGAGUCUGAACAGGGCGUAUAGUUAGUUGGAGUAGACCCGAAACCACAGUGAUCUACCCAUGUCCAGGUUGAAGCACAGGUAAAAAUGUGUGGAGGACCGAACCAGUGAGCGUUGAAAAGCUUUUGGAUGAGAUGUGGGUAGGGGUGAAAUGCCAAUCGAACGUGGAGAUAGCUGGUUCUCCCCGAAAUAGCUUUAGGGCUAGCCUCAUGGCGAGAGUACAGGCGGUAGAGCACUGAACGGGGUAGGGGCCUAUCCGGCUACUGAACCUAAUCAAACUGCGAAUGGCUGUACUUAUCCAUGGGAGUCAGACUGUGAGUAAUAAGGCCCAUAGUCAAGAGGGAAACAGCCCAGACCAACAGCUAAGGUCCCCAAUGCCGUACUAAGUGGCGAAGGAUGUGGAAUUUCGAAAACAACCAGGAUGUUGGCUCAGAAGCAGCCACCAUUAAAAGAGUGCGUAAUAGCUCACUGGUCGAGAGACUCUGCGCCGAAGAUGUCCGGGGCUAAAGUACGGAACCGAAGCUUUGGCAAUUAACAUAAGUUAAUUGGGUAGGGGAGCGUUCCUGCAUGGGAGAAGCCUGACCGGAAGGACAGGUGGACAGGCAGGAAGAGAGAAUGCCGGUAUGAGUAGCGAAAAGAAGGGUGAGAAUCCCUUCCACCGAAAGCCUAAGGGUUCCUGGGCAACGAUCGUCGUCCCAGGGUAAGUCGGGACCUAAUCCGAGGCGGAGACGCGUAGGAGAUGGACAACAGGUUGAAAUUCCUGUACUGGCUGAGGCCGUUUGAGCGAAGGAGUGACACAGGAAGGAAGGCGCGCGUGCGAUUGGAAGAGCACGUCCAAGCAGGUAGGUCGGGAGACAGGCAAAUCCGUUUCCCGUAAGGCCGAGAUGCGAUGGGGAGCUUCUGGAGACAGAAGCGAAGGGGCUGGCACUAAACUGUCGAGAAAAGCUUCUAGUGAGGACUCAGGCACCCGUACCGAAACCGACACAGGUAGGCAGGAUGAGAAUUCUAAGGUGCGCGGGAAAACCCUCGUUAAGGAACUCGGCAAAAUAUAUCCGUAACUUCGGGAAAAGGAUAACCCAGCGUACGUGAAGUGCAGAAACGCAUGGAGCGGAGAUGGGUGGCAGAAGAGAGGCCCAAGCGACUGUUUACCACAAACACAGGCGUCUGCUAAAGCGAAAGCUGAUGUAUAGAUGCUGACACCUGCCCGGUGCUGGAAGGUUAAGAGGAAGUGUUAGCGCAAGCGAAGCAGUGAAUUGAAGCCCCAGUAAACGGCGGCCGUAACUAUAACGGUCCUAAGGUAGCGAAAUUCCUUGUCGGGUAAG